rnacentral:rRNA from 1 species
GAUGAACGCUGGCGGCGUGCCUAAUACAUGCAAGUCGAGCGAACGGACGAGAAGCUUGCUUCUCUGAUGUUAGCGGCGGACGGGUGAGUAACACGUGGAUAACCUACCUAUAAGACUGGGAUAACUUCGGGAAACCGUAGCUAAUACCGGAUAAUAUUUUGAACCGCAUGGUUCAAAAAUGAAAGACGGUCUUGCUGUCACUUAUAGAUGGAUCCGCGCUGCAUUAGCUAGUUGGUAAGGUAACGGCUUACCAAGGCAACGAUGCAUAGCCGACCUGAGAGGGUGAUCGGCCACACUGGAACUGAGACACGGUCCAGACUCCUACGGGAGGCAGCAGUAGGGAAUCUUCCGCAAUGGGCGAAAGCCUGACGGAGCAACGCCGCGUGAGUGAUGAAGGUCUUCGGAUCGUAAAACUCUGUUAUUAGGGAAGAACAUAUGUGUAAGUAACUGUGCACAUCUUGGCGGUACCUAAUCAGAAAGCCACGGCUAACUACGUG